rnacentral:rRNA from 1 species
GACGAACGCUGGCGGUGUGCUUAACACCUGCAAGUCGAACGGUAAGGCCCCUCGGGGUACACGAGUGGCGAACGGGUGAGUAACACGUGGGUGAUCUGCCCUGCACUUCGGGAUAAGCCUGGGAAACUGGGUCUAAUACCGGAUAGGACCCUGGGAUGCAUGUCCUGGGGUGGAAAGCUUUUGCGGUGUGGGAUGGGCCCGCGGCCUAUCAGCUUGUUGGUGGGGUGAUGGCCUACCAAGGCGACGACGGGUAGCCGGCCUGAGAGGGUGACCGGCCACACUGGGACUGAGACACGGCCCAGACUCCUACGGGAGGCAGCAGUGGGGAAUAUUGCACAAUGGGCGCAAGCCUGAUGCAGCGACGCCGCGUGAGGGAUGACGGCCUUCGGGUUGUAAACCUCUUUCAGCACCGACGAAGCGCAAGUGACGGUAGGUGCAGAAGAAGGACCGGCCAACUACGUGCCAGCCGCCGCCGUAA